rnacentral:misc_RNA from 1 species
GUUUGGUGGACAGACUAUCCCGCAUUGGAGAGAGUUGUGAUGAUAGUCCAGAAAUGAGUUAAUUAUAUUUUAGAGACAGACCCAUCAUCUCCUUGUCAUUCCACCUUCUCAAUGAAGCAGAAUCCAUGCAAAAGAGUCUCACAAAAUGGCAGCCACCCGGCCUGAGCCCUCUUCUCAAUGCUAUACUGAGUUAUCGCACGUAAGUUCUGGUAGCUGUUUCUAAGACCAUGACCUGCUUACGUUCCUGUUGAGAAUAUAUAUAUCCCACGUUGAAAAUAAUAGAAAUGAAAGGGUGAGUAUAAGUGAUUGAG